AUCAACUUUGUUGUUAGUGUAUUGGACUAAACAAGGUGAUAACGGGUGACGGAGAAUUGGGGUUCGAUUCCGGAGAAGGAGCAUGAGAAAACGGCUACUAUUUCUAAGGAAAGCAGCAGGCGCGCAAAUAAUUAAUGGGAACAACUUCCCGAAAUAGUGACAAAAAUAACAAUGCAUAACUUAUAGUUGUGUAAUUGGAAUGAGAACAAUUUACAACCCU
rnacentral:rRNA from 1 species